GAUGAACGCUAGCGGCAGGCCUAACACAUGCAAGUCGAGGGAGAAGCCCUUUCGGGGGCAGAAACCGGCGCACGGGUGCGUAACGCGUAUGCAACCUACCUUUCACAGGGGGAUAGCCCGAAGAAAUUUGGAUUAAUACCCCAUAAUAUUAUUGGAUGGCAUCAUUUGAUAAUUAAAACUGCGGUGGUGAAAGAUGGGCAUGCGUCCUAUUAGCUAGUUGGAUUGGUAACGGCACCCCAAGGCUACGAUAGGUAGGGGUCCUGAGAGGGAGAUCCCCCACACUGGUACUGAGACAGGGACCAGACUCCUACGGGAGGCAGCAGUGAGGAAUAUUGGUCAAUGGUCGGAAGACUGAACCAGCCAUGCCGCGUGCAGGAAGAAUGCCUUAUGGGUUGUAAACUGCUUUUAUAUGGGAAGAAUAAGGCGUACGUGUACGUUGAUGACGGUACCAUAUGAAUAAGCAUCGGCUAACUCCGUG
rnacentral:rRNA from 1 species